GAUGAACGCUAGCUACAGGCUUAACACAUGCAAGUCGAGGGGUAACGAGAGGGAAGCUUGCUUUCCUUGUCGACGACCGGCGCACGGGUGAGUAACGCGUAUCCAACCUGCCCCCAACUAGGGAAUAACCUUGCGAAAGUAAGACUAAUACCCUAUAAUUUCCUCAGAUGUCAUCUGACGAGGAAUAAAGAUUUAUCGGUUGUGGAUGGGGAUGCGUCUGAUUAGCUUGUUGGCGGGGUAACGGCCCACCAAGGCAACGAUCAGUAGGGGUUCUGAGAGGAAGGUCCCCCGCAUUGGAACUGAGACACGGUCCAAACUCCUACGGGAGGCAGCAGUGAGGAAUAUUGGUCAAUGGGCGGAGGCCUGAACCAGCCAAGUAGCGUGCAGGAUGACGGCCCUAUGGGUUGUGAACUGCUUUUAUACAGGAAUAAAGUUAGCCACGUGUGGUUAUUUGUAGGUACUGUAUGAAUAAGGACCGGCUAAUUCCGUGCCAGCCGCCGCCGUAA
rnacentral:rRNA from 1 species